UUACAAUGUUGUGUUAAUUUCUGCUGUACAGUGAAGUGAUUAAGUUAUACAUACAUAUACAUUCUUUUUGUAUUCUUUUCCAUUAUGGUUUAUCACAGGAUAUUGAGUAUAGUUCCCUGUGCUCUACAGUAGGACCUUGUUAUUUAUCCAUUCCAUAUAUAAUAGUAGCAAGUAGCUUUUAAGUCUGAGAUUAAACUGCUUUAGCGAUCCUUCCUCUGACUCUUUUCCUAUCAGGAUCCCUCAUGCUCUUCAGCAUUCAUGUUUCUUGGCUUCUCUUUUCUUGUUUAUCAGACCAGGAAGAAUAGAAUAUGCACAUGUAUGCUCUUGCCUUUGCUGUGUGUUCUCUGUUCUUGGCCUCAAGGAAAAAUUGCAAAGAGAGAAACUAAGCUCCUCAUCAGUGCAACCUCCAAGCAAGUUUCCACUCCACCAAAAUCUGCCUGCUUAUGUUAACUAUUCAGGAUAGCAACCUUCAGAACAGCAACACGGAUCAGAGUUCAAAAAUUUUUUUCUUUGUUUAAACUGCGGUGAUUCUGUUCUAUGCGUGCAUAGUUCAGAUAUGAGUCAGCAAUGUGAGUAAGACAGAGUUUGGGGAUUCUGGCUCCAGCUCUUUCCCUUCUGGUAUUUCCCCCACACUCUUCAAUAUUCAUAGUAUCCAGGUUUCAUUGUUCUGCUUCCCCAGCCAGGAGGAUUUUGGGAUUUCCCUUCUGCAUUCCCUGCCACUGCUUUUUGCCCAAAGGACUAACAUAGUUCCUCAAAGAUGGUAAUUAUUUGUACCACCUUCUGCCUUCCUCCUCCUGAUUGAAGGUUUGCGGCGACCCUGUGCAGAGCAAGUCUAUUGGCCUCAGUUUCCCAGAAGCAUUUGCUCACCUUGCAUCUGUUUCACCUUUCGCUUCUUUUCGGGCUUCCCUGGUGGCGCAGUGGUUGAGAGUCCGCCUGCCGAUGCAGGGAACACGGGUUCGUGCCCCGGUCCGGGAAGAUCCCACAUGCCGCGGAGCGGCUGGGCCCGUGAGCCAUGGCUGCUGAGGCUGCGCGUCCGGAGC